UGUUGUACUGUCUGUUGUGUCACAAAAUUGCUUGUUAUGUCCUACAUGGAAGAGUAUUUCUUGGAGGAUAAAAGCUAGGAUGACAGAUCCCAGCUGGAAGAUUCAGCAUGGAAAUCUGAACACAGGGUGACAACCGAGCCCUAAAGAUAGAUGCUGAUAUUGAUGCUGAUGCUAAUGCUUAUGCUGACCCCUUAUAGGAGGAUCUGCUUGUCCAAGCACAGGAAUCAGAGACAGAUACAGCAGUCAGACCUCCAAGUCCAAGAGUCAGAAUUUAGAAGACAUCUCAGGAACUAUUUCUGUUCUAGCUGUGCUUUGUACUUGCCUCAACGAAAAAUGACUCAGCACCAAUUCAGUCACAGCAAAGGUAUCUCCAGUGGGAAUGGCAGCAGCAUGCAAUGCCUGAUACAGACAGAUCACCUUUGCAUAGUCACUUUCUGAAUUUCAAUGCAUGCCUUCCCCUGCUGUGACCUCUGUUUCACAGCAUUCCUAAACUCUGCCAAACCUCCUGGACUUUCAGCCUUGUCUUCACUGCCUGAAUUGCAAUACUGCUAUCGUUCUUUGAACUCAGAUUAUUAAUUGACAACUCUUUUCUGCUCUGUUCAAGUGAUAACAGUUCCUGUGAAAUCUCCAUGUAUUGACCCAGACCUGGCUCUGAUUAACUCUUUCUGCACUGUCCCCAUGUAACUGUUACUUAUAUAAAAUACUCUUUUGACCAGCUGUGGAACUUAACAGUAUAUAAUGGGACGUUAGCCUUACACUAAUUGUACUAACCACUCCCACUGUCCACCAUGAUUGAUUUCUGUGAGCAAGAUUAAGGUGAAAGGACUGAUGGAAUAAGAGCUCCGAUCAAUACGUGGAAUGUGUAUAAACUUUUCAUGAUGUUGUAGCAGUUCACUAUCUGACUGUGAAGUAGACUCAGUUUGAUUGAGAAUAAAAUGAAUACUUCAUUUUUGCUGUUUCCUGGACAUGUAAAAACCUAUGUGAAAAUGGAUCAUUUUUUUCCAGAAAAUCCUGCAAAUAGUGGUAGCUCAAUCCACAGUAACCAAAGGUAAAAAAAGAGCAAUGGAUAGAUUUUUAAAAAUGCCUACACAGCUGGUGAUGGAGAGUCAAUGGCAGAGGUGAGUCUGCUGAAGAUCUAAGAUAUGCAGAGGAAGGCUUUCUCUAGAUCCCAUUACCAUCACCGAAAUCUUGGAUGAGGACACAAGAGAGAGUCUUCUCAAUGGCUGCGCCCAGGCUGUGGGACUUCCUUCCGUAGGAAGACUGGUUGGAUCCCUCUCUGCUGUUUUUCCACCAGCAGGUGAACUGAGGUCAGAAUCAAAACCAAUGAGGAGGGUAUUCCAUCACCAACAUGCAUCAGCCAAGAAGACCCUCUGCCAUAUAUCCACAUGAUAUACUACUCCCCUGGUGAGAAAUAGAAGAAAAUCCCUCAGCAGUCUCAAUAUCAAUAUGUUUAUCUUUCACUGACUAUGAAAAACAGAAUUCCUAUGUGCAGAGCUGGUCAUAUGUGAAAUGUCUUUCUAAGGGAUGCAAUUCUACUUUAAUAUUCUUCUUCAGAAGAGCAACAAGUAAUUUUAGCAAUUCUCUUCCCACUGCAUCAUUUGAAAAGAGAAUUUGAUUUCAGGAUUCAUUCUGUGCAAAAUUAGCACACUGAUGGUUUGCACAGAAAACAGAAUUUUCUAUGCCGGAAACAG